CUUCCCUGGUGGCACAGUGGUUACGAAUUUGCCUGCCAAUGCAGGGGACAUGGGUUCGAGCCCUGGCCCGGGAAGAUCCCAUAUGCUGCGGAGCAGCUAAGCCCCUGCGCCACAACUGCUGAGCGGCCCCUGCUCGCCAUAACUAGAGAAAGCCCGCACACAGCAACGAAGACCCAGUGCAGCCAAAAAUAAAUAAAUAAAAAUAAAUUUAUAAAAAAAAAAAAAAAAAAAAAAAAAAGAACUGCCAAUUUAUACAAAAAAAAAAAAAAAAAAAAAAAAAAAAAAAAAAAAAAAGAUAA